rnacentral:ncRNA from 1 species
CUGGGGGUCCGUGACGAAGCCUUGGGAGUGAUCCCGGGUCGAACGGCCCCUAGUGCAGAUCUUGGUGGUAGUAGCAAAUACUCAAAUGAGAACUUUGAGGACUGAAGUGGGGAAAGGUUCCAUGUGAACAGCAGUUGGACAUGGGUUAGUCGAUCCUAAGGCAUAGGGAAGUUCCGUUUGAAAGGCGCCCUCGUGCGCCGUGUGCCGAAAGGGAAGCCGGUUAAUAUUCCGGCACCUGGAUGUGGAUUCUCCACGGCAACGUAACUGAACGCGGAGACGUCGGCGGGGGUCCUGGGAAGAGUUCUCUUUUCUUCUUAACAGCCUAUCACCCUGAAAUCGGUUUGUCCGGAGCUAGGGUUCCACGGCUGGCAGAGCACUGCACCUUUGCAGUGUCCGGUGCGCCCCCGACGACCCUUGAAAAUCCGCGGGAAGGAAUAGUUUUCACGCCAGGUCGUACUCAUAACCGCAGCAGGUCUCCAAGGUGAACAGCCUCUAGUUGAUAGAACAAUGUAGAUAAGGGAAGUCGGCAAAAUGGAUCCGUAACUUCGGGAUAAGGAUUGGCUCUAAGGGUCGGGCUCGCUGGGCCUUGGGGGGAACCCCCCGGAGCAGGGUGGCACUAGCCGGGCAACCGGCCGGCGCCGCCCAGCACCGGGGCGGGGACGCCCUUGGCAGGCUUCGGCCGUCCGGCGGGCGCUUAACGACCAACUUAGAACUGGUACGGACAAGGGGAAUCUGACUGUCUAAUUAAAACAUAGCAUUGCGAUGGCCAGAAAGUGGUGUUGACGCAAUGUGAUUUCUGCCCAGUGCUCUGAAUGUCAAA